UCCUUCCUACGGGGCGCAGCAGUAGGGAAUCUUCCACAAUGGGCGAAAGCCUGAUGGAGCAACGCCGCGUGGGUGAAGAAGGUCUUCGGAUCGUAAAACCCUGUUGUUAGAGAAGAAAGAGCGUGAGAGUAACUGUUCACGUUUCGACGGUAUCUAACCAGAAAGCCACGGCUAACUACGUGCCAGCAGCCGCGGUAAUACGUAGGUGGCAAGCGUUAUCCGGAUUUAUUGGGCGUAAAGGGAACGCAGGCGGUCGUUUAAGACUGAUGUGAA
rnacentral:rRNA from 1 species